UCGAGGACGGGGGAGCACGCUCCCCAUGAUGUUUCUUACACCGCAAAUUCAAUGAUUUUCUUUUUAGCUAAACCCGAAACGCUCAGGAUUGCAAUCGAUACACCAGCAGCGCUGCCAGGAGACGGUAACCAUGGCAACGGACCGAAAAGCAAAGGAUGCUGCGGACCAGCCCCGGCUCCCCGGUAGCAGGAGGAGAUUCCCUCAUCCCACGCGAGGCUGUCAUGAAACUCUUCCGCCACACCCCGCGCAAGGAAGCCAGCCACCAUUUCUCAGAUGGACUGAAGGUUUCCAGCACCACACUGAGGAAAAAGGUGAACUACACUGGAAGCAAACCCCAAAACCUGUAGCUACAAACAGCAGCUGAUGGAAGUGAAAGACAACACUUACUUUUUAUGAAAAACAGUUUAAUGUGAGUGCCUCUGAAUACAGACAGCUCUGCUUCUGUAACGUUCCUCACGGCACACUGACCUCCCGGACCUGCUCUCACCUGUCUUUACAUUUGCUGCUGGAAAUAGCUGCAUAAAACGGAAUCUUUGUCUCUA